GACGCAGGAAGGUAGCCGGGCCGGGCAAUGGAAAUGACCUGGUCUAAGGGUGUAGGGCUGCCGGUAGGUAAAUCCGCCGGCUGUAUGCCUGAGACCUGAUGGGCGCCCACAUGGUGGGUGAUCCGGUGAUCCUAUGCUGCCUAGAAAAGCAUCGGCGCGAGGUUCAAACUGCCCGUACCCUAAACCGACACAGGUGGUCAGGUAGAGAAUACUAAGGCGAUCGAGAGAAUCAUGGUUAAGGAACUCGGCAAAAUGCCCCCGUAACUUCGGGAGAAGGGGGGCCCCAACCUUGAGCACCACGUGCUGGUGUGAGGGGAUCGGGGCCGCAGAGACCAGGGGGAAGCGACUGUUUAUCAAAAACACAGGUCCAUGCGAAGUCGUAAGACGAUGUAUAUGGACUGACUCCUGCCCGGUGCUGGAAGGUUAAGGGGACCUGUUAGCUUCGGCGAAGCGGAGAACUUAAGCCCCAGUAAACGGCGGUGGUAACUAUAACCAUCCUAAGGUAGCGAAAUUCCUUGUCGGGUAAGUUCCGACCUGCACGAAUGGAGUAACGACUUCCCCGCUGUCUCAACCAUGAACUCGGCGAAAUUGCAUUACGAGUAAAGAUGCUCGUUACGCGCAGAAGGACGGAAAGACCCCGUGACCUUUACUAUAGUUUGGUAUUGGUAUUCGGUGUGACUUGUGUAGGAUAGGUGGGAGACUGUGAAGCGGGCACGCCAGUGUUCGUGGAGUCGCCGUUGAAAUACCACUCUGGUCACUCUGGAUAUCUAACUUCGGCCCGUGAUCCGGGUCAGGGACAGUGCCUGAUGGGUAGUUUAACUGGGGCGGUUGCCUCCUAAAAUGUAACGGAGGCGCCCAAAGGUUCCCUCAGCCUGGUUGGCAAUCAGGUGUCGAGUGCAAGUGCACAAGGGAGCUUGACUGUGAGAGUGGCAGCUCGAGCAGGGACGAAAGUCGGGACUAGUGAUCCGGCGGCUCGUUGUGGAACGGCCGUCGCUCAACGGAUAAAAGGUACCUCGGGGAUAACAGGCUGAUCUUGCCCAAGAGUCCAUAUCGACGGCAUGGUUUGGCACCUCGAUGUCGGCUCGUCGCAUCCUGGGGCUGGAGUAGGUCCCAAGGGUUGGGCUGUUCGCCCAUUAAAGCGGUACGCGAGCUGGGUUCAGAACGUCGUGAGACAGUUCGGUCCCUAUCCUCUGCGCGCGUUGGAAAUUUGAGAAGGUCUGUCCUUAGUACGAGAGGACCGGGACGGACGAACCUCUGGUAUGUCAGUUGUACCGCCAGGUGCAUGGCUGAUUAGCUACGUUCGGGAUGGAUAACCGCUGAAAGCAUCUAAGCGGGAAGCCGGCUUCGAGAUAAGAUUUCCUUGCCCCUUUGAGGGUGUGAGGCCCCCAGCUAGAACACUGGGUUGAUAGGCUGGAUGUGGAAGCGAGGACUGAAGACUCGUGAAGCUGACCAGUACUAAUAGGCCGAUGACUUACACACA
rnacentral:rRNA from 1 species